UACGUAGGGUGCGAGCGUUAAUCGGAAUUACUGGGCGUAAAGCGUGCGCAGGCGGUUAUGUAAGACAGGUGUGAAAUCCCCGGGCUUAACCUGGGAACUGCAUUUGAGACUGCAUAGCUAGAGUACGGUAGAGGGGGAUGGAAUUCCGCGUGUAGCAGUGAAAUGCGUAGAUAUGCGGAGGAACACCGAUGGCGAAGGCAAUCCCCUGGACCUGUACUGACGCUCAUGCACGAAAGCGUGGGGAGCAAACAGG
rnacentral:rRNA from 1 species